rnacentral:rRNA from 1 species
UGGCGGCAGGCUUAACACAUGCAAGUCGAGCGGGCGUAGCAAUACGUCAGCGGCAGACGGGUGAGUAACGCGUGGGAACAUACCUUUUGGUUCGGAACAACACAGGGAAACUUGUGCUAAUACCGGAUAAGCCCUUACGGGGAAAGAUUUAUCGCCGAAAGAUUGGCCCGCGUCUGAUUAGCUAGUUGGUGAGGUAACGGCUCACCAAGGCGACGAUCAGUAGCUGGUCUGAGAGGAUGAUCAGCCACAUUGGGACUGAGACACGGCCCAAACUCCUACGGGAGGCAGCAGUGGGGAAUAUUGGACAAUGGGCGCAAGCCUGAUCCAGCCAUGCCGCGUGAGUGAUGAAGGCCCUAGGGUUGUAAAGCUCUUUUGUGCGGGAAGAUAAUGACGGUACCGCAAGAAUAAGCCCCGGCUAACUUCGUGCCAGCAGCCGCGGUAAUACGAAGGGGGCUAGCGUUGCUCGGAAUCACUGGGCGUAAAGGGUGCGUAGGCGGGUCUUUAAGUCAGGGGUGAAAUCCUGGAGCUCAACUCCAGAGCUGCCUUUGAUACUGAAGAUCUUGAGUUCGGGAGAGGUGAGUGGAACUGCGAGUGUAGAGGUGAAAUUCGUAGAUAUUCGCAAGAACACCAGUGGCGAAGGCGGCUCACUGGCCCGAUACUGACGCUGAGGCACGAAAGCGU